rnacentral:rRNA from 1 species
AUUGAACGCUGGCGGCAGGCUUAACACAUGCAAGUCGAGCGGGGUGAUGGUGCUUGCACUAUCACUUAGCGGCGGACGGGUGAGUAAUGCUUAGGAAUCUGCCUAUUAGUGGGGGACAACAUCUCGAAAGGGAUGCUAAUACCGCAUACGUCCUACGGGAGAAAGCAGGGGAUCACUUGUGACCUUGCGCUAAUAGAUGAGCCUAAGUCGGAUUAGCUAGUUGGUGGGGUAAAGGCCUACCAAGGCGACGAUCUGUAGCGGGUCUGAGAGGAUGAUCCGCCACACUGGGACUGAGACACGGCCCAGACUCCUACGGGAGGCAGCAGUGGGGAAUAUUGGACAAUGGGGGGAACCCUGAUCCAGCCAUGCCGCGUGUGUGAAGAAGGCCUUAUGGUUGUAAAGCACUUUAAGCGAGGAGGAGGCUCUUUUGGUUAAUACCCAAGAUGAGUGGACGUUACUCGCAGAAUAAGCACCGGCUAACUCUGUGCCAGCAGCCGCCGCCG